ensembl:snoRNA SNORD116 Small nucleolar RNA SNORD116
GGGUCAGCACUGACUCCCACAUAUGCAUUCCUUGGAAAACUGAAUAAAAUGAGCAAAAAAACCUCUGCCGCCGAAAUGACUGCUUUUGUUUUCU